rnacentral:lncRNA from 1 species
AUGAAAAAUGGCGAAGCCGACUAAACUUUCAACAAUUGCAUUUUCCCAUAAAUUUUCUUAUUUGCAAAUAAGCCCAUGAGCAUGUUUAACCUAUUUCUAUCUAUUUUCUAGCCAAUGUUUAGGAUACACUUUAUACUUUGAGAGAGAGAUUUUGGAGAGAAUAUCAGAACUUCUUCAAAGAUUGAUUGAAACCUCUAUAUUUCUUUCCCUCAAUCUAUUAUUCAUUUUUUUUUAUUUUAUUAUUGCUUCUUUUAUGAUCAUGUCUGAGUAAUAUAUUUGUUAGAUCUAGGGAUUUUCUAAGGUUUUAAUGAAUUUGUGAUUGAUAUAUAUGCUAGGGUAAAUCCAGUGUCUCCUUCAUUAGGAUUGUUCUUUCUGCUUUUUCUUCGAGUAAUUAACUAGUAACUUGAUCUUAGGAUAAUUGGAAUAAAACGAGAAUGUGACUGGUUUCCUGAUCUCUAUCCUGCUGAGC